GCCAAAUAAUAAUUGUUUUUGUUGAACUAAAAGGGGAUAGACCAACCAUUGGAAUGUUCUCAAUAUAUGAAUAUAAUGAUUCUUGCUAACAACAAACUAAUCACACCAUAUUAUUGAAUAAAUACAUCACGGAAAAUUUUAAACUAUAAAGGCAAACCAACAAAUUAAAAAGCUUCCAUUUAAUGGAUGGAUUUUUGAUAUACAAAAUGAUAAAGAUAAAUGGUAUUGUUCUUCUUUAAGCAACAAAAAAUACAACAAACACAAUAGGAAAUUAUGAUGAUAAACACCAAUAUAAGGCGUGAUUCAAUCCAAGCACUCAUCCAAUGCUAAGUUGCGACAAAAACAAGUAUAACUGCAAGAGAAGAGAAAAAGUCAGAACAAAAAGAUUUGGUAUGCGUGGGUGUAAAAUAAUAGUGUAUUAUUUAUGUCUUAUCAAUAUAAAAGUUUACAUACAAUUAAUAAAUCAUUCAUUUAUAAAUUUAAAAGUGAUUAAUGAUCAGAUGAUGAAUGAUGAAUAUUACAGCGAUAUUAUGAAAAUCUUUUAAACUUUCUGUCCAUAUAUCUUUUUUUAUGGAAAGUAAUAUAGGUAGAUGAUAGAGAUUUUGGUUAUGAACUAACCAUCUUCUCCACAAGUUACCACACAAUCUUCUGGUUUUAUGUGAAACCCUACGUUGGGGGUAUUCUGGAGGACCACCAUCCUUAGAGGGAUAAUAAUCUACAGGUGGUGGGGCACUAACAUUUGUAGCUGUAGGGUGUGCCUGGCCUGGUGGUGGAUGUGACCCAGCUAUAUCAAAAUAUCAUAUCAUUAAUCCAAGUUAGAAAGCUUUCACAAUUCAUAUGGAAAUAAGAGUAAUUUCAGCUUAAACUUUUAAAUCAAAACCAAACCAAUUACUUACACAUUUAUGUUAAAAAAGUAAAAUAUAUUAUAAAAAAUAUAUGCAUUGAAUGAGUUUUAUACAUUGUUAUUACAUCAUCGAUCAUUCAUAUUUAAUUAUCAUUGACUAUUUAAAAAAAAUAAUUCAAAUAAAUAGUGAUGAUACAAUGACUGUUUGUGUAUAAAUUUUUACACUGACAAUAUAUAAAUAUUAUACUUAUUAUAAAAACAUGCUAAUGUUUAAGUAAUGAUUUUUUCCUACCAAAUUUAUGUGACACUGUAUUUAAUAUCAUUUGUCCUUAUCUCUAUAUAUCACCUAUUAUAUAUCUUCAUUGCAUCUACAUUUUUAUUAAGAAGUUCAUGAAAAGAAGAGGAAACAUUGAACACAAUGCAGAAUCCAAGGUUUUGGUGUUAAUUAAGCAUUUCCGUAAAUUUCCAUUUGAUCUAAGAAGACAUUCACAUAGGAAACCAUACUUUGUUGUUACUAGAAAGAAUAUUUUGGUUACAUUUUAUUGAAAGAUAAGAUGAUAAGAAAAACUCACCAUGGACUUCUUGCUGAUUGUUAACGUGGCUAGUUGUGUUUGAUGGACUAGCUCUUUUCAUUUUUACUUGAAGGAGUAUGUGUUUAGAAACAUGGAAGAAAAUAUAUGUAUAUAUAGGUUCAUGGUAGGGUUUAAUGCAUAAAUUAGAAGGUUGGAAUGUGG
rnacentral:lncRNA from 1 species